rnacentral:lncRNA from 1 species
AUCCCUUGUGAAGGUUCACUUAUGAUAAGAUCCUUUUGAUGAUUACGUAUGAACUUCCACUCAUUGGGCAUGUCAUCAUGCUCUUUGUUGACAUUUUCUUCAAGGUUAAUCUCUUGAUCAUCAUCUUUGACUUUAUCUUCUCCAUUUUGAUUUGCAUUAUUCCUCAAGUUGAGUUUUUUCAUCUCUUUUUCUGUAAUUCCUACAUCAUCAUCACUAAAAUCUUUCUUUCUCGAAC